UGCCUUUGUGUUACCCACUCAUGUUUGGAAGUAACGAGUGUGGCGUCAAGAAAGGCAAACAGUAUAUCCCUGUUACCAACCUCGAAAUGCCUCUGGCUCUAUCUACGCCCCUGGCACAUGGUAACUUGGAGACACUU
rfam:Xenopus laevis strain J chromosome 2S, whole genome shotgun sequence.